ACCAGCGACCAACUUCACUCAGAGUGGUUCUAACUGGCGGCUCGGCUGGCACCCCCAAAAUUAUUCGCUGCCUGAAUUAACGUACGGGAUUGGAACUGGGAGCGCCAAACCAAACCAAACCAAAUCAAAACUACGCCUCACUCCCGCCAGUCGACGUCGACUCCUAUUCUAUUCCGUCUCAAUCCUAGCACUAGAAGCCCUCCACCGCCUCGCAACCCUCAUUCCGAUUCCUCCACUUUCGAAGACCUCUGCUUCGACUGCUUCUCUCGAUUUCGCGAAUUUAUUCUCCGGAGACAGGAUUCUCCCAGAAACAGGUUCCAUCCACAAUGACAGCUUUCUCUAAUCUCACCGUUGGCUUACCGACAUCCGCCGGGACCAGAGAUAUUGUCAAGGCUUUUGCUUUCACUUGUGGCACCUGCAAACAGCCCAUUACACAAACCAGAUAUGUCCCAUGAGUAAACACAACCUCAUAAUGUGUCCUCCAGCAGUGCACUUGCAUGCUGGCCAAUGCUCUUUCCAUAAUUGACUACCUUGUUGGUAAUCAAAUCCCUGCCAUAGUGCUCUGUGAGUGCGCGUUAAGACACGUGAAGGCAUGUGCUCCCUCCCUCCCUCCCCCCCCCCCCCCCCCCCCCCCCCUCUCUCUCUCUCUC